CGCAGUGCUGCACUCCGUGUAUUUGACAAGCUGAGUUUGACACUCAGUGUGGCAGAGUGUCAGUUUGUCAAAUACCCCAAGUGAGGC
rnacentral:pre_miRNA from 2 species